rnacentral:rRNA from 1 species
GGCGCAAGCCUGAUGCAGCAACGCCGCGUGAGGGACGACGGCCUUCGGGUUGUAAACCUCUUUUAGCAGGGAAGAAGCGAAAGUGACGGUACCUGCAGAAAAAGCGCCGGCUAACUACGUGCCAGCAGCCGCGGUAAUACGUAGGGCGCAAGCGUUAUCCGGAAUUAUUGGGCGUAAAGAGCUCGUAGGCGGUUUGUCGCGUCUGCUGUGAAAUCCCGAGGCUCAACCUCGGGUCUGCAGUGGGUACGGGCAGACUAGAGUGCGGUAGGGGAGAUUGGAAUUCCUGGUGUAGCGGUGGAAUGCGCAGAUAUCAGGAGGAACACCGAUGGCGAAGGCAGAUCUCUGGGCCGUAACUGACGCUGAGGAGCGAAAGGGUGGGGAGCAAACAGGCUUAGAUACCCUGGUAGUCCACCCCGUAAACGUUGGGAACUAGUUGUGGGGUCCAUUCCACGGAUUCCGUGACGCAGCUAACGCAUUAAGUUCCCCGCCUGGGGAGUACGGCCGCAAGGCUAAAACUCAAAGGAAUUGACGGGGACCCGCACAAGCGGCGGAGCAUGCGGAUUAAUUCGAUGCAACGCGAAGAACCUUACCAAGGCUUGACAUAUACGAGAACGGGCCAGAAAUGGUCAACUCUUUGGACACUCGUAAACAGGUGGUGCAUGGUUGUCGUCAGCUCGUGUCGUGAGAUGUUGGGUUAAGUCCCGCAACGAGCGCAACCCUCGUUCUAUGUUGCCAGCACGUAAUGGUGGGAACUCAUGGGAUACUGCCGGGGUCAACUCGGAGGAAGGUGGGGAUGACGUCAAAUCAUCAUGCCCCUUAUGUCUUGGGCUUCACGCAUGCUACAAUGGCCGGUACAAAGGGCUGCAAUACCGUAAGGUGGAGCGAAUCCCAAAAAGCCGGUCCCAGUUCGGAUUGAGGUCUGCAACUCGACCUCAUGAAGUCGGAGUCGCUAGUAAUCGCAGAUCAGCAACGCUGCGGUGAAUACGUUCCCGGGUCUUGUACACACCGCCCGUCAAGUCAUGAAAGUCGGUAACACCUGAAGCCGGUGGCCCAACCCUUG